rnacentral:hammerhead_ribozyme from 1 species
AUCCAGCUGACGGGUUCCAAAUAGGACGAAACGCGCAUCCUGGAU